UACGAAGGGGGCUAGCGUUGCUCGGAAUCACUGGGCGUAAAGCGCGCGCAGGCGGUCCUUUAAGUCUGAUGUGAAAGCCCACGGCUUAACCCGUGGAGGGUCAUUGGAAACUGGGGACUUGAGUACAGAAGAGGAGAGUGGAAUUCCGACGUGUAGCGGUGAAAUGCGUAGAGAUGUGGAGGAACACCAGUGGCGAAGGCGACUCUCUGGUCUGUAACUGACGCUGAGGCGCGAAAGCGUGGGUAGCGAACAGG
rnacentral:rRNA from 1 species